rnacentral:rRNA from 1 species
CCUACGGGUGGCUGCAGUGGGGAAUAUUGCACAAUGGGCGCAAGCCUGAUGCAGCCAUGCCGCGUGUGUGAAGAAGGCCUUCGGGUUGUAAAGCACUUUCAGCGGGGAGGAAGGCGGUGAGGUUAAUAACCUCAUCGAUUGACGUUACCCGCAGAAGAAGCACCGGCUAACUCCGUGCCAGCAGCCGCGGUAAUACGGAGGGUGCAAGCGUUAAUCGGAAUUACUGGGCGUAAAGCGCACGCAGGCGGUCUGUCAAGUCGGAUGUGAAAUCCCCGGGCUCAACCUGGGAACUGCAUUCGAAACUGGCAGGCUAGAGGCUUGUAGAGGGGGGUAGAGUUCCAGGUGUAGCGGUGAGAUGCGUAGAGAUCUGGAGGAAUACCGGUGGCGAAGGCGGCCCCCUGGACAAAGACUGACGCUCAGGUGCGAAAGCGUGGGGAGCAAACAGGAUUAGAUACCCGGGUAGUC